AAGUGCUACAGAAAGAUGUAGUUGGGCUUUUGCUGCCUUGUGGGUUCUUUCUUCCACCUUUCUCUACCCCUUUUCUUUCAUCCUUUCAACCCCCUAAAACUAGAUAGGAGAGGAAAAAGGAUAAAGGGGACAUAAUAAGGGGUGAUGUUAUCAUUGGACUACAUCAUUCUGAUUAGGGGCAAGUGUGAUAUUUGCAGUCAGGAUAUUUUAUUUCUUCCUUUUCUUGUGUCUUCUUUGGGCAGUACUACUUAACAAACCACAACCAACCAACCUACCAACCUAGGGACUCUAGCAUUUAUAUGAAAUGUCUGAAAACUCUCCAGAAUUCUAAACACCACACACACUUGCAAAAAGUAUCUGAAGCUGACAAAAAUCAUGCCCCUGCUAGAGCACAUGACAAAUCAUAGUCACCUGCUGUGAAGCAGCCCCAUAUCCCACACCUGGGAUUAAAACAAAAACAUAUUCCUAUAAUAUUUCUGUGUUUGCAGAAAGAAACCAAAAUUACAAAAUUCUCAGUACAGAGAGAUAUGCAGGAAUAAACCCCAUGUGCAAUAAAAUACAAUGAAUGUUUAAUUUUAAAAUAUGGCAUACAUAUGCAAUAGACUAUUAUCUAUCUUUGGAAAUGGGGGAAUUCUAAUAUGGUAGCACAUGGCUGCAUCUGAAGGGUAUUGAGCUCAGUGAAAAAUGCCCAUCAGAAAGACAAAUGCUGUAUGUUUGCAUCUUUAUGAGGUGAUGGAUAUAGAUGGUAGCAUGAUGGCUGCUGAGGCUUGUGGGAAGGAGGGGACAAGGAGUAUGUGUUUAAUGGGCAGAAAUUCACUCAAGUAAGGUCCAAAAGCUCUGGAAGAGCACUUGAAGACUCUUAGGAUGCCAAACUCCAUUAUGUGUCUUUUACUGCACUAUGUAAAACACGAGGACAUUGGUCAUGCAUCCUCUUCAUUUCCACAUUGUCUUAUGAUGGCUGUCGAUCACCUGUGCAUACAUUAUGUAUUCUGUACAGUGUGAUGCUAUUAUUCUGAUCACCGUUUCUCUGAAUCACUUCCCCGUCUCAGUCUUUUCUCUUUUCUCUCAGAUAUUUCAAUUUUACAUAGGGUAGAUCACUUAUUUUUUUUUCUAAAUGUAAUUAAAAUGAUUGCUCUGUUAAAUAAAAUUGUUCUCUUCAGUAUAAUUUCUAUCAUUUUGAUUUUUAGUUCAUAUACCCUUUACCCUGUAUAAUGUAAUUUUUUUAGCUCUUUUGAUGAAAAAUUUGAUUGAUGAAUUGAGUGUUCUUUGAUAAUUUCAUAUGUGUAUAUGGCAAUUCUGCUUGCUCUGCCCUUAGCCUUGCCUGUCUUCCUACCACACCCUCUAUCACUCCUUCCUACAGGCUUUCUCCACUGGGUGACUUUUUCAUUUUAAUAUAAUUUCAUUUAAAUAUAAUUUUUAACUACAGAUUUUAUAUUUGGUUAUUUCAAAAAUAGUUCUUUUUUGAUAAGAUUUUCCAUCUGUUCAAGCAAUAAUCACACUUUCUUUAAGUAUGAAUGUAUUUUGUAAUUGUUCAAAGAUUUGUUUUAUUUUUAUUUUUUUAAUUUUAAUUGAUGUAAUUACAUUACUCCUGUUUUCUUUUCCUCCCCCAAAUCCCCUAUCAGCCACUGUCUCCUGAAACAUAUCCAUUUCUCCCCAAUUCUCAAGUUGAUGGCUUCUUUUACUUUAACUAUAUUUGUUGGGUAUGUGCAUGUUCACAUGUGCAUGUGUGUGUACACAUAAGUAUGUAUAAAAUACAAUAUACUAAGUGAGUGAGUCUGUUUUUGAUAUUUGGAUAUAUAUGAUUUCAAGGCUGACCACUAUGUGCCUUAGCACACAUUCAUGCUGUUGUCCAAGGAGGCCCCCCUGUUGGAUCCCCUGGAGCUGGAGUUACAAGUAAUUGAGAGCUGCCCGAUACAGGUGCUAAGCACUGAACUCCAGUCCUCUGCUGGAGCAGCAAGUACUGUUACCCGCUGAACCAUCUCCAGCACCUUGCACACAGGCAUGUCUGACUUCUGCUAAUGCCAGUAUCAUCCUCUCUAUGUCAGGGCUUUCCCCCUCUGACUUCUAUAUCUCCCGAUGGUGAACCACUUUACAUGCCUAUUUUUCGGAGAUAAUAGUUUGAAGAUCUAUCUUGAAAGAGUCUUGACUGUUACUUUUUAAAAAAUUAACUUUAACUUUUGUUUGGGUAGGUAACUAAAGUACUGGAAGAUCUCCCUGAUUGCUAUUGUAAGAUGGCUUUGGUGUGGACGAGGCCCCAGGUUUAAUUUCCAGCAGCUACACAGUCACCAGUAGGCAGGUAAUCAUGGCAGAAGGGCCUGAAGGAGAAAUCUGAUGAACUCAUGGUGGCCAGGAAGCAGGGAGAAAGGACCAGAUAAAAUUCUCAGAGGCAUGCCUCUAGUGACUCAUCUCCAG